AUCACCCAGCUUCUGCAUUGAUCUUGCUGGGAGCUGCAGACUGGAGCUGUUCCUAUUCAGCCAUUUUGCUGUUCCCUUGUUUUGUUUUUCUUUAGCAUUUAUGAUAACUUGAAACAUUCUACUUUAAUAUAUUUACUUCUCACUAUUCUACUUGUAUAUAAAUUUCUAAAAGCACUGGUUUUUGUCUGUUCUGUUCAUGGCUGUAUUUUUAGUACCUAAAACAAUACUUGGCAUGUGAUAGGUAUUCAAUAACUGUUUUUAAAAUAAUGUACUUGAAAAAAAAUUACAUGAUCCUAUAAAAACAUCAAAGCUGAAAAGUCAUUUGAGUAACUUUACUGAUCAAAUGUAAGGGACCAAUAAUAAAAGAUCACUAUAUUGUUCCAGCAGCCAAAUAAAGUAUUAAAACUGUUUCAGUAGUUGAAUAUGCUGACAGUAAUGUUUUCAUAAACUAGAUUUUGUAUCUAACUCCUUAGGUUUGGAACUCUUUUCAGUAAGAGUUUCCAUUGUAAGGAUUUCUAAUGAAUAUGUUUAGAAGUUCAAGUUCUUACUAAAUAUCACAGAUAAAAGAUAGCAAAUAUAUGCUGAACUUUAAGGACUGAGGUUAUAUAAGACUGAGUUGAAUGUAAUAAGGCAGCAGUGUAGUGUUGGCAUUGAAAAAAAUUGAAGAUUCAUAAAGUAUAAAUUCAAGAAUGACAAAUAGCAUUCUUUUUUUUUUUUUUUUAAUUUUACACUUGUUAAAUUUUGUCUCAGUUCAUUUGUGUUGCUGUAAAGGAAUACCUGAGGUUGGGUAUUUAUAAGGAAAAGAGGUUUAUUUGGCCUGUGGCAUCUACAUCUGGUAAGGGCCUCAGACUCAUGGCAGAAGGCAAAGAGGAAUCAGUGUAUGCAGAGAUCACAUGGUGAGAGAGGAAGCAAAGGAGGGUGGGGAAGGCAGUGCCAGGUUCUUUUUUUUUUAAAAAAAAAAUAACCAGCUUUUGUGGGAACUUAAUAGUGAGAACUCACUUAUUCCCUAUGCUUAGGCCUUUAUUCAUGAGGGAUCAGCUACCAUGACUCAGACACCUCCCAUUAGGCAUAACCUAAUGAGGAUCAGAUUUCAGCAUGACAUUUGGAGGGUUAAACAUUCAGACGGUAGCAGAUAUCUGACGUUUAGCUAUUUUAAAAGCAGUUAUAGAAACUAGAAGAAUCAGAGGAACUUAAUUAUAAAAACUUUGAUUACUAAAAAAGGAUAACAGACAAAGUCGAUUAAACAGUUAUCCUUAAAUAUGUGGCUGCUAUGUAAAAGGCACACUGAUGAGCCUUUUACCAUCACAUAAAACAAAAUUUAAAUGGUACAUUAAAACAUUAACCUACCCACUUUGAGAGUGAUUAAAUAUUAGAGCAGGCUGACAUUGGAAUCUUUGGACUCAACUAAUUGGUAUUUGGCCAGAGAACAGCUUAUCUUUUCUGGCUAGUUUGAGUUCAGUGCUGUUCAAAUUUGGGCGGCAGUUAAAAGAGAUUUUAAGACCCUCUUCAAUUCUAGGAGAAAAUAGAUUUUGUAUUAAAGACCUUAAUACUAAGCCGCUGGUCUGAACCUCUUUAAAUAAACUCAGGUUUUAUUAGUCUUUAAAAAAGAGAUAGUAUGUUAUUAUGUCUCACAGAGUGAUUUAUUUUUGUU